rnacentral:lncRNA from 1 species
UAGCAACGAUGCAGCGCUUACAAACCAAAUACAAACCAAACAGCGCAGCUACAAACAGAGCAGCAAUGGAACUAUUUUAACUGGCGGAGUUUUUAACACCAAACAGAUCCUAUUUUCUCCUCCUCUUUACUUUAGGAGGAUCUGCUGAAUCAGACGCUGCGGUUUGAUGCAGAACUGAAGCUCCAGCUGUGGAACAGAUCAGCCGAAGAUCCUGACGUCACUGAGGAGGUUAAUCCUGAGGAAGGAGUGCAGGGAGGAGGAGGAGGAGGAGAAGAAGAGUGUGUGAGAAGAGGAGUGUGGAGACGGGAGGCUCCUCAGACUCUGCUGAAAGCUCUGGCCAACAUAGAGGUUUCAUCCCUCUGCUCUACUGCAGCUUCAACCCAACCCGGUGGAGUGGAGCUGAAGGAGCAGAGGAGGCGGUGGUUAAAGCGAAGGCCGAAUACACUCCUCAACGCUUUAGCUGAGGCUCAGCUCACCUUCUCUACACUCGGAUCGACCCUCGUAUCUGAGAGAGAUGACUCAAAGGAGAAGAAAGAGGAAGAGAAAGAGGAGGCUGCUGAAGCUGUGAAAAGCAGCUCUGCAGAUGAUGAUGAUGAAGAUGAGGAUGACUCUGAUGUGGAGGUGGAUGAGGAGAGGCUGGAGCCCAGAUCAGACGAUGAUGAUACGAACUUCGAAGAGUCUGAAGACGAGCUGAGAGAGGAGGUCGCUGACUCCAUGAGGAAUCUCUUCAUCAAUAAUGAUGAUGAUGAAGGUGAUGAUGAUGAUGAUGAUGAUGAUGAUGAAGGGCAGAGUGCUGUAGAUGGAGAUCUCUGUGUGAAAACUGAAGAGGAGAGAGAGGAGAGUAACGAUACAGAGAGAACAGAUUCCUCCAGACCUGCAGCUCAGGAUCAGGAAUCUCAUCUCCAGACUGAACAGACUGAGCUUCAGCACCUGAACCCUGAGGAGAACCAGGACCAGAACCAGAACCAGAACCAGAACCAGGACCAGAACCAGGACCAGAACCAGGAUGUUGGAACAGCAGCGGAGCAGCAGAGACACAUCUGAUCUCACAGCGUCUCCAGUCUGUUCUCAACAGUUCUCAUCACCCGCCGGUCCACCAAUCAGGAGUGAGUAAUGAACAUCCUCGAGGUCGGUCUGAUCUGAGAUGAAGAUCGCUCUCAAUUUGUUCGAUUAGACUUUUCUGAUCUUAACACUGGAGCCGUAGGUUUCUGUCUGUCAGGUCAGCCCGUGUGAAGCUCAGAAGUAUCUCAGAUAGUUCCACAAAAUCCUGAUUAAAUGUACAGUUUUCAUAACAACAAAAAACAGCACAUAUAAUAUUUUUCCCAUGAUUACAUAUGAAUCACUCAAAAGAAGUAUACCCACUACCUCACCCACUUAUAUUUAUAAUUAUAAUCACUGAUUUACAAAAUCAAUUACACAUAAUAAUAGUCUCUCAUGGGGGAGCUUUGAGGAUGUUGUAAUAAUAAACACAGCGAUGUAAAAUCA